rnacentral:tRNA from 1 species
GGGGUUGUUGCUCAGCGGUAGAGCACUUGCCUUGCACGUGGGAGGCUCUGGGCUCAAUUCUCAGCACCA